AUAAUUGACAUGAGACUGAAGAUCUCGUCUGGUGUGUUCAGUGCUAUAUCCCCAGUGCCUAGAAGGUGUUAUUAAAUAUUAGUUGAAUAAAAGAUGCUUUGUGCUGAUGAACAUGGUCACUUUGAAAGGUGUGUUGAAUAUGGCAGAGCCAGAAAAUGCAAGGAGCUUCUUCUCUGGAUCACCACUUGAAGAAGAGCCACUUGCUCCUCAGGAACCCUAUUUUGGACUGACAUAAUGACAAGCAGACAGUAACACACUGGUAGCAAACGUUGAAGACUGGUGGCCCAGGGGCUCUGAUGUUGAUGAAAUUCCUGAUGAAAUUGAGUUUGGUAAUUAUACAGCUGACCUGCUUGAAAGAAAGAUAUCACAGUAGAACAAUUUCCUUGGUUCUGCCAUUUCAUUUAUCACCAUUGUUUGUCUUUGUUGUCAGUAUUAACAUCAAUUAUUAAUCUUAAUGCUCAUUUUCCUUCCUAGCCUUCUUU